GGGAAACCGCGCAAGUCCCAGGCUGCGGUGCCAGUCCUCCCUCUGGUGGUCGAGGAGCCGCUCCCACGAUUACAAGGCUCCCGCGGAGGGUUACUUCUUGUAGUCCCGAGACUCACUGGCUGAGAACAGGGAGGAGCCUGAGAGAUCACUGAUCCUGCCUAAACCCGGACGAGCCUCUCCACGCAUCCUCGCUUUACUGGCCCUAUGCUGGUUCUUGAGGACACACUGAUGAGAAAACGGGCUUGGAGAGGUAAUAGCAGGUGGCGUUGGUACAUGCCUCAUUUCCCCAGUCCCUGCUCCGAGCUGCCUUGCCAGCGUGGUGGUUUCCAGCACACUGAGAGCCCCUCCAUUCAAGGACUGCUUUCAGCCUCCACAACAAAGGGUGCAGUCCUUACCGGAAGCCCAGAAGCCCUCAAGACAUGGAUCAACUUCCUUCAGCCAGUCAGAUUCACUCCUCCUUCUCCUGCAAAGUACCGGCUCGUCCCUAGACAUGCACACACUCGGCCACCUCCAUCCACUUGUCGGUGCUGUUUUCAUUUGCCUGUGCAGCAUUUUUCCCAUUGGCUUCCUGUCCAGUUUUUCAAACCCAGCAGGGAUGUCACUUUCUCUGGGAAAUCCUUCCUGGCUGAAUCCCCCUGUGCUCUUUGGUGCUUCCCUAACUCUCAUUGAC
rnacentral:lncRNA from 1 species